AAAGGGAGACCUAAUUCAGGUAAAAGACGAAAAAAAAGUAGUCGCUACCAAGAAUCAAUCCCAAAAGGUCGGAGCGAGGCGAAAUUGGCUUUCAAACUAGGUUCUGGGUUCAAACAAGACCUGAAUCAGGAACAAGGGCUAUUAGCUCAGGUGGUUAGAGCGCACCCCUGAUAAGGGUGAGGUCCCUGGUUCGAGUCCAGGAUGGCCCACCUGCACAGGUGGCGAAAACAAGAGAAGCGAGGAAUCAGCACCUUAUCUUACUUAUAUAGUAAGAGAGAAUGCUGGCUCUGAGUAAAGAGUCCAGAGGAACCUUGAAAACUGCAUAGAGCUAGGUGAAAAAGCCAAAAAAGAAGACCGCAAG
rnacentral:tRNA from 1 species